rnacentral:rRNA from 1 species
UACGGAGGGUGCAAGCGUUAAUCGGAAUUACUGGGCGUAAAGCGCACGCAGGCGGUUUGUUAAGUGAGGUGUGAAAUCCCCGGGCUUAACCUGGGAAUUGCAUUUGAUACUGGGAAUCUUGAGUCUCGUAGAGGGGGGUAGAAUUCCAGGUGUAGCGGUGAAAUGCGUAGAGAUGUGGAGGAAUACCGGUGGCGAAGGCGGCCCCCUGGACGAAGACUGACGCUCAGGUGCGAAAGCGUGGGGAGCAAACAGG